rnacentral:tRNA from 1 species
AAAGAUGAAGUACUUAAACGUAUAUUUUAGUUACAUUAAAAAGGACCUAGGACGAUUAGGCAUCUUUA